UACGGGGGGGAGCAAGCGUUGUUCGGAUUUACUGGGCGUAAAGCGCACGUAGGCGGAUUUGUAAGUCAGGGGUGAAAUCCCGGGGCUCAACCUCGGAACUGCCCUUUGAUACUGCAAAUCUCGAGUCCGGAAGAGGUGAGUGGAAUUCCUAGUGUAGAGGUGAAAUUCGUAGAUAUUAGGAAGAACACCAGUGGCGAAGGCGGCUCACUGGUCCGGUACUGACGCUGAGGUGCGAAAGCGUGGGGAGCAAACAGG
rnacentral:rRNA from 1 species